UACGUAGGGUGCAAGCGUUGUCCGGAAUUAUUGGGCGUAAAGAGCUCGUAGGUGGUCUGUUGCGUCGGCUGUGAAAUCCCGAGGCUCAACCUCGGGCCUGCAGCCGAUACGGGCAGACUAGAGUUCGGCAGGGGAGACUGGAAUUCCUGGUGUAGCGGUGAAAUGCGCAGAUAUCAGGAGGAACACCGGUGGCGAAGGCGGGUCUCUGGGCAAUUCCUGACGCUGAGGCGCGAAAGCGUGGGGAGCAAACGGG
rnacentral:rRNA from 1 species